rnacentral:rRNA from 1 species
AACGAACGCUGGCGGCAUGCCUAACACAUGCAAGUCGAACGAGACCUUCGGGUCUAGUGGCGCACGGGUGCGUAACGCGUGGGAAUCUGCCCUUGGGUUCGGAAUAACAGUUAGAAAUGACUGCUAAUACCGGAUGAUGUCUUCGGACCAAAGAUUUAUCGCCCAGGGAUGAGCCCGCGUAGGAUUAGCUAGUUGGUGGGGUAAAGGCCUACCAAGGCGACGAUCCUUAGCUGGUCUGAGAGGAUGAUCAGCCACACUGGGACUGAGACACGGCCUAGACUCCUACGGGAGGCAGCAGUGGGGAAUAUUGGACAAUGGGCGAAAGCCUGAUCCAGC